UACGUAGGGUGCGAGCGUUAAUCGGAAUUAUUGGGCGUAAAGCGCACGUAGGCGGUAUUGCAAGUCGGAUGUGAAAUCCCUCGGCUUAACCAAGGAAGUGCAUCCGAAACUGCCGUACUUGAGUACUUAAGAGGAUCGCGGAAUUCCCGGUGUAGAGGUGAAAUUCGUAGAUAUCGGGAGGAACACCAGUGGCGAAGGCGGCGAUCUGGGAAGAUACUGACGCUGAGGUGCGAAAGCGUGGGGAGCAAACAGG
rnacentral:rRNA from 1 species